rnacentral:misc_RNA from 1 species
CUGAGUUGCAAAACUCCCCACCAUUGUGAACCUACCUAUCGUUGCUUCGGCAGGGGAGGCCCUCAGCGGCCUCGCGCCCACCCCUCGGGGGAGGCAGCCCGCCGGAGGCGUCCAAACUAUAGCAUACAUUGGCCUCUCUGAGUAGCUUAUAGAAUAAGUCA